rnacentral:rRNA from 1 species
AUUGAACGCUGGCGGCAGGCUUAACACAUGCAAGUCGAGCGGGGGAGGUUGCUUCGGUAACUGACCUAGCGGCGGACGGGUGAGUAAUGCUUAGGAAUCUGCCCAUUAGUGGGGGACAACAUUCCGAAAGGGAUGCUAAUACCGCAUACGCCCUACGGGGGAAAGCAGGGGAUCUUCGGACCUUGCGCUAAUAGAUGAGCCUAAGUCGGAUUAGCUAGUUGGUGGGGUAAAGGCCUACCAAGGCGACGAUCUGUAGCGGGUCUGAGAGGAUGAUCCGCCCAACUGGGAUUGAGACACGGCCCAGGCUCCUACGGGAGGCAGCAGUGGGGAAUAUUGGACAAUGGGCGGAAGCCUGAUCCAGCCAUGCCGCGUGUGUGAAGAGAGCCUUUUGGUUGUAAAGCACUUUAAGCGAGGAGGAGGCUACUAGUACUAAUACUACUGGAUAGUGGACGUUACUCGCAGAAUAAGCACCGGCUAACUCUGUGCCAGCCGCCGCAGUAACAC